GGGGAAAGGUGACCUUGAGCAAAGGGUGCCACCAGAGAGGGGAGGGAGGGCUUGUGCCUUCUGAUGGAGUGCUGUCCUGGACCAGGGAGGUCUGAGUCCUUUUUCCAUUGCUUCCUUUCCCAACUUACAGAAGUCUGCAGGAGCCACAUUUUAAAGCUGCAUCCACUAAAUCAGCUGCACUCCUUGGUGUUGCUGCUUAGAACCUGUGGUCCAAAGUUUUAUCAUCAAAUUUCACUAUCACUUAAGUGCUUACACUGGGCAGGCUCAAAAGCAUGGCAUGGCCGUGUGUGCUCUCCCAGGAGUCACAGAAGGGCUCUUCCUCUGGCCUCAUCAGCCUUCUGCUGGUGUCACUUGAAACUCUUAAGUCCCUUGGACAGAGAAGAGACUUGAAUAAAGAUUCUCUGGGGUCUUGAAUGAGCAGAGGUUGCCUGGGUAGAAUCAUGGAGGUGAUGGGAGAGGUUGAGGCAGUAAACUUGGGGCAGCCAGAAGCCUGGCAGGCAGCAGUGUCCUCUUUUGCUUCACAGGGAGAUGAUUGCCUCAGGGCACCAAUGUGGCUCGACGUGCUUCAAGAGCAUAUUCAGUUGUAGGCUAGUGUGGGAACAAAUGGUGCUGAGCUCCUUGUAUGGAGCUGGGAACAUGCAGGGUAACAUGCAGUAUGCAAAGAAAGCAAAAAUCCCAUGACCAAACAGCAUUUUAAGGACAGAAAUUAUGUAUGUCAUGUAAAACAAAUCCGUUUCAUUCCUGCUCGGCUUCAUUUGUUCACCUGUAAAGACAAAAAUACAGCCUCAUUUUGCAAGGAAAUACAUUUGAAUAAAUGAAGGCAAAUAUGUCUUAGUAAGUAUUAGUAGGGAAAAACCUCCUUUUGAUUAUGGUUGUGAAGAUACAGAUCACAAUCUCAAGUGGAUGUGAAAAAAAUCAUCUGCUCUACUGAAGUAAUGUAGAGGAUCAGAAGAACACUGAAAGCAAUCAAAAGGAAAAAUAGAGACAGAUAAGGAUUUGGCUAGGUUCGGUCUAUCUUUACAAUUGGGAUAUAUUAAAUCUACACAUACCUUUCUCUGACUUUUUACCUUUCACAUUCUGCACCAAUAGAUUUUGUUUACUGACAGAUAACAAAUUACACAAAAAUGCAGCACUUAUGGUGAAGAAAUCACCCCUGCUACUCUUUUUCUUAUAGAUGUCUUUUUUCCCCCGUUAACUAAUUAAGUUUUUGAUCCUCCCAAUUAGACCACAUCCAGUCAUUAUCAUACCAGCUUUAGUGUCUGAUUAUGCAGCUGCUGCGUCUGAACAGCUUCAUUCAAAUCAGUAAGAAAUGCCCCUAUGCACCAACUGCAGAAAUGGUGCUUAGUCCUCUGCUGAGCUGCCUACUGCUACUUUCUCAGGGGCUUAACAUAGUUGUGUCUAUCAUCACUACAUGCUGUUAAACUUGCCUGUGUUUUUUUCCUGGGGUCUGAUAGAAAACACCAUAAAUCCGCAUGUUUUAUGGAAAAACAGUUGGACGAGAUUAGAGAGACAAGUUAACUUGUCUAUGCCAGAUCUUAAUUCUUUCUCAAGAUGUAACGUAUUCAGACCAAUUUAAAAUAAAUGUCUGUAUCAGAAAACUAAACAGGCAUCAGAGCACAAGCACAAAGGCAAAGGUCAGCCCCUGGCUCUGAAAUGACCGGGGUCCUCAGUCCGAGCUAUGAAACCUUACAUUUCUGCCUCAGCGAAGACAAACACACAGCACUAUUUAUAGCACAGCUUUUUACUACCCUUCUGGUAGAAUAGGCUUCAUCGGAGGAUUUACAUGACUAACCAAAAGCAAAAGCCUUUUGUCCUUAAUUUCCAUAAGAGAAGGCCAGUGUUAAGCUGGUGUUCAUUGGGCUGAAUUACAGAAAAUAUCAGUUACUAGAAAACCAGUUACUAAUUCAAAGGCAUCUGUUACCAUGGCAUAGGCCUUCUCUUCUCUCUCCAUGCCCCAGAUUUAGCACCAAUGAUGGGAGUUUAGAGAAAGCUCAAAAAGAACGAUUCUUACCUCUGGAGGAAAAAAAAAAAAAAAGCAUAGUCGAGGAAGACCUCAUGUUUUCAUGGCAACUAAGGAGUAAAGGGUUAAGACCUAGGAGAUGGCUCCGAACCAAUAAACAGCACAAAAGACUCCUAUUAGCAAAUCAAGAGCCCAAUGUGUUCCCAUUUCCCCCCUUGUAUCUUCAAUUAAACCCUUUGGGCCACAAAGUUACUGCUCCUGCCAAGGACAACAAUCAGCACGAGUUGGAUGAUGCGCAGGAGCUUCCUCCAGAGGUUACCAACCUGCAGUUCCCAUGGCCUGUCAGACCUCCCUGCUGCAGAAAUGCUCCCGAGCAGCGAGGGUCACUGAUGCUCUGCUGUGCCUCAGCUGCCCAGCAGAGGGCUUUUCUACAGGGCUUCUCCAGGCUCACUGGCACUGUUUAACACGGCUCAGGAAGAGGAAUGGCCACAGAACACAGCAGAGAAUUGGAGUCAGGCUGUGAUAUCCUUUUACAGAUGUCCUCCUGUAACCUUCAGUGCAGAGCUACACCCCUUUGUUUUUUUCCACCUCUAAAUGGGGAUUGCCAGCCUUCCAGUAAAAAUGGUUUCAUAUGGUCAAAUUCUUCAAAUUUUCCACUACUGCAAGUGUUUUAUUUAGGAUGUCUUCAUACUCUGCUGUGAACUGUCAGUGGGAUGAGAGCCUUUCCAGGUUGUGUGUGCUGGAGCCACAGCCCCACAGUGCCAACAGACCAGACAGAAGGAAGGCAUGGGCAUCUGGAGAGACCAAGCCCACCCUCAUGAAAUGUGUCCAGGUGGAAAAGGCACUUGCAGGACCAAAGAAUGCCUGAAUUUUAGUCCUGCUUCUCCACUCCCCUGCUGCCUGCUUGUGUGUGAACCAGCUCACCUCCUUGCUGGGCAUUUGCACAGUGCAAGUGUCAUUUGCUGGAAUAUCUUCUUCUCCAGCUAUUCAAGCAUGGUGCAGGAGAUUAGCCCAGUUUGUGCUUGCUGUUUCUGCCCAAGCUUGUGCCAGCUCCAGGGAUUGCUCUCCUCCAUGACUUGAAGGUUUGGCCCAAGUUAUCUCCAUGAUACCCUUCAUCUGGAGAGCUUCAUGAGUGACACAUGUGAUGAGUUCCUACCUGCUGCCUUCCCCUGACCAGCCCUUUUGAGUGGCUUUUACAGCACACUUCCACUGAGGACCUGUGACACGCAGACUGCUGCACAGGCUCUGGCUCUCAGGCUCUGACCCUGCUCUCAGUGGUAAUGGGUGAGAUCCUCACCAGUUGCUCAGGCUGGGAGAGAAUCAGAUCUCUGCAGAGAGUUUUGAACCCCUUGUGUGUUAGAAAGCUACAGUGCUUACGAGGCAUAACUUCAACCACUGUACAAUUUAUAAUUUCCUUUAAUUUCUUGAAGAGCUGUAAUUUUUACACAGUUGUGAAAGGAUCUUUGUUUACAAUGAUUGCAAAGGGUAAUAUUUCCAGCAUGGGUAACCAUGGCAAUGAAUAAUUCUAUUCUUAGGAACUGUGCCAGCUGCACUAAAGACUUAUAGUAACACUAAAGCAGUUUGCUAAUGAGAGAAUUCUUGUUUGUUGUAGGAGGACAUUUUCCCGUGUCCACACGUUAGCCUGGUAGUUUCUUAAAAGCACAGUCUUUAUCAGUCAUACAUGGGGAAAAAAAAUCCAAACCAAAACAACCUCUGUUACAUAGCUCUUCUCACAAGUAACAUUUUCAUGUGCUAUUUUUCCCUUGGAAAGUGUAUUAUAAGAUGUAUUUUAAAAUUACAUCUAUGGUAUGCAAUAGUAUGUUUUGUUUUUACUACCACCUUCUACAAUAAGAAUGAGCUUAGGAUGCUUUAGAGCAGCAGUUUCUUGCAAAAAAGGACAACAUUCUGUAAACUGACCUGAAAAUAUGCAAAUUUUAUCACUAGAGGAAGGACUUCAACUAUUUCAAAAUACUAGUUUUAUACAUAAUUUAGAGUAAAAAAUAAUUCUAUAUUACUUAUUAGAAUA